AAAAAAAAGUAAGAAAGAUGAUGAAUGUAACCUGAACUUUGCAGAAAGGUAGCUCUCCAGAAACCAAGACUGGACACUCCUAAUGUGCAUGAAUGAGAUCAGAGAUAAAGUCAAUGGGAUGAUUUUCAGAUUCUCAUUAUUUCAUGUAAAUUACUUCGCACACAAGAAAAGUGUAAACUACAUUUCAGGUACAUUUUCAUCCAUGUUUAGAUUCAACUGAUUGAUCAGAAUCAUUCUAGACUAUGGAUGGCAUAUCUAAUAUAAAACUCUUAAGAGGCUUAGAUCACGUCUCUUCAGAAGAAGAUCAUAAUUGAACAUCUAUUUUGCUUGAAUUCUUAUGAACUGCAGCCAUCUAAUUAUUCUCUAUUUGCUUUUGUGUUUCUACCUCAGGAUGCCCAUCCUAUCAUAACUAGAGAUUAUGCCAGAUUCAGUCUGGAUCCAGCCUCUUACAAAGAUUUUAGAUGACCCCAACACCUGUUAAGAGAUGACACCGACCCCCACGAGGACCUCAGAUGACGACAACUCUGAAUCAUCAUAAAAACUGCCAAAUUUUACGUGAAGCUGCACUGUAAAAAGUGCUACACCCACACAGUAGGUUUUAUAUAUUUUAAAUAGUUGUAAUCUAGUUUAUUUUAUUUGUUUUAUACUAAAAAGUAUAAAUAUACUUCCUCUUUACUUAAAAUAUAUCACUUUUUACAUAACAAUAUAUUUUAAGUAAAACAAUAGCAAUUUAUUUGGGUAGCUUUUUGUAUGAGUUUGUUGUGUACAAGAAAUGUUAUAAAAGUGAGUUGACAUACACAAUUUAUUUGAGCAGCUGUCGAUGUGGCAUGUGUGUUCAUCAAACUUAAAUAUUUGAAAUAAAAAACACAUAAAAAUUAAGUUGGAUUUAUCCCUUUUUCACUGUCGGGGACUUUCCAAGGCAGAUGCUUCCUCGGCACUUCAACUGUUUGAAAGCUGCAGCGGAUCUAAAUUUCACAGACUGAUUAACACGUCUCCGGUGGGGCAUGCAGCUGUCGUGGGGUCCUCGUGUUAUCAGCAGCAGAGUUGUAACCAAGCGUUUUUGUUACCUGGGGUCUUCAGAUACAGGUAAGAAAAACUUCAGAAUAGAUACAGUUAAAGCUAUAAUUAUUCCCAGGUAAGUAAAACAUAGGUAAAAUUGCAAACAAUAGUGUUGGCUCCAUACAAUUACAUUUCUGAAUUAGGUUGUAUGUACCAACCACCAAUAGAAGGCAGAUAUGAUCACCUUUCUGCCUCCUUCUACUACUGCACUAAUAGAAGCUUGAUUCAUACUGAUAAAUACAGCCUACAUGGUCAGUUAAAUCUCAAUUUUGUGAGAUGCUGGUGAUAGUGUGAGAUCUUGUACAGUACAGUGGUAGUGGUGUAUGUAUAGUACAACCUUUUACAUCAAUUGCAUGGUUGAAAUACAGAGGUUCCGUCUGGCUAUGUGGAGAAAAGGAGAGAAGUGGUACUGAGAUGCCUGAUUGAGAACAUAUGGGAGGGAAAGGAAAACCUCAUCAGUGUCCACCAUGUAUGUACUGGGCUUAAAGCUACUUAUCUAAUUUCUGUCUGUAUGUUAUUACUAUUGUGAUGAUAUGGGGUAAUUACUUUGUUCUUGAAAUAUAUUUAAUACAGUAAUGUGAUGACCAAUAAGGUACAGGCAAGGAAAAUUGCAUUGUUUUAUUGUAAUGUAUCCUUUGAACCAGAAAAGACAACACUCAUGCUACAGUAGAUCAUGAUAGUAUAGUACCAACACUCUAUGACAUUGUCAUGGUAGACUUCACUCUGGUCACAUGCUCUAGUCAAAGUAUCCAUCUAGUAUCCAUCACCUUAAGCAACUAAAAAGUACAAUUUUGACUUUGUGUCGUAUCUGUCUUCUACCAGUCUGCUAUAUUCAUCUCAAUACCUGUUUGUCUGACCAAACUCUUGAUUCUUUUUUGUCUUCCCAAUAGAGUCAUGAUGAAACAGAGGUGUACGCUGAGCUUGGCAGUUCCCCACUGAAAAUAUACAUGCGCCAUCAGCCAAAUACGAUUGGGAUUAUCACAGUAGAAGGACAGCCCAUGGUCAGAGGUGUGCCAAACCUGUAGAAAACCUCCUGUGUGGACUUGUCUAUGCCCACAACCUCUAAUAUCACUCAAAUCUGGUGUAUACUUCUGAGAUAUAUCACAGGCUCUUUGUGGGAUUGGACCCUAUGCAUACUUUUGUAUGUUUUGUAGGCACUGUUAAAAGUGACACUAGUUGACAUUGAAUAAAUGUUAUUGUCUUUAA